rnacentral:rRNA from 1 species
UGGUGUGAAUUGCAGAAUUCAGUGAAUCAUCGAAUCUUUGAACGCACCUUGCGCCCUUUGGUAUUCCGAGGGGCAUGCCUGUUUGAGUGUCAUUAAAUACCAUCAACCCUCUUUUGACUUCGGUCUCGAGAGUGGCUUGGAAGUGGAGGUCUGCUGGAGCCUAACGGAGCCAGCUCCUCUUAAAUGUAUUAGCGGAUUUCCCUUGCGGGAUCGCGUCUCCGAUGUGAUAAUUUCUACGUCGUUGACCAUCUCGGGGCUGACCUAGUCAGUUUCAAUAGGAGUCUGCUUCUAACCGUCUCUUGACUGAGACUAGCGACUUGUGCGCUAACUUUUGACUUGACCUCAAAUCAGGUAGGACUACCCGCUGAACUUAAGCAUA